rnacentral:misc_RNA from 1 species
AAUUACUAAAGUUGUCAAAAAUUGAAAAGUCAAAACAGCAGUCAAACAUGGAUUCUGUAGCUGAAGAAUCUGAGAAUUUUGAUUCAUUUAACGAAAAUGAACUCGGCAAAACAAACAAUAAUACUCCAAAAGAAACCUCACAUAGCAAUAAUAAUAUCGUACAUAAGUUGUUUAAUAGAGAGAUAUAUGGUAGCACUUCAAGAAAUCCUAGUGAAAAAACUAAAAAAAUAUUUGACAAAAUACCUCCCCGAUUGCGAUUCUGUCUUAUGGACAUUGUGCCCAUGAGAUACUUGAGGGAGCAUGUCUUCAUGGGUUUCUCGCAGUGUGGCCAGUUUCUACUGAGCUUCACAUAUAGCAAUAACACACAAGUUUACUUCAGGGAGAGCUCCAAAUUUACGCUCCAUUUUUUAUUGUGGGUGCCUGGUUCCAUGGUGCGGUUGGUGCACAGUGUGCCACUCUUUGGUGAAGACAGUGUGGACAGCAAGGUCACCAUAUCCAUGGCACAGUGGAAACACAAUCCUGGUGUGUUAGUUGUCUAUGGCAUAGCUGAAUCCCUGUCUGAACGUUCCUACCUCAGUGUAAUCGGAGUACCUCGCUUAGGAUGUCGGAAAUGCUCGGCCAUUUCUAAAGAUGAAGAUGACCCUGAUCCAAAUUGGAAUAAACGUUGUCUAGAGCACAGUUUCGCGAUACAUACAAAAUUCGUCUGUUCCUUCGAUUCUACUCUCUACGAGCCAGUCGUCCAGCUAGCAUAUACAAACCAAAUCAUCAUAUACACAGAUUUCAUACACAUACUGGAGAUAGAUUUCGUCAAACCCGAUCCAGACAGAAGUGACAUACACGAGGACAGACAGUACUCGUUAGAUAGGGAAGAAAUCAAUUCGGUGUACACGAAUCCGAGCACGCCAGCUUCAGACGUGUCCGCCGCCUUUCAGUCUCCUAAAUAUCAGAACAAUGUAGUUCAAAAUAUUCUAGCAGACUUUUCCGAGAUUGAAGAACCGUAUCAGAUGUCCAAACCGGUUCAACUGCCUGACGUUAUGGGCCAAGAGUUGUGUAUCCAAGCGUCUUCUAUAUCGCACAAUCUGAUGGAGGAAUGGGAAGGACCCUCGCCUUCUAUAAGAACGUUGAUAAGCCCGCCUUUGCGGUCACCGAGACGGCGACCGGCAGAGAGCAUGUCCAGGUUUAACGAAGCUCAUAGAAUAAAAGCAGAGAAGGCUUACGAAUUUGUCGAAGAAGCGGAGAUAAAGUGCGAGAAACUCAGUAUGUUUAGGAAACGGCGUUUGGCGGAUAAGAAAUACGAAUUUUCGGAGGAUAACAAUGAGAAUAUUGUUCCUUUUAGAGUUUUAAGAAGUAAUAGGAAAUAUUUCACAGGGUCGACCAGUAAAGCUCAAACUAGAAGAGCGAGGUCACCGCCCGUCGAGAGCGUGGUCCUGAGAGCACACAACCAAAUCAGACCAACGUCUCCGACGACUAGCUUAGAUCUCAAAAACCCUGGCCUCUGUUCCCUAGAGUCUGACAGAAACAGUGAAUCAGAGUACAGAGUGAUGGAAAUGCUGGACGACGGAUCUCUCAAAACGGUGUCAGUCCACGAAAACACGUCGAAAACGCUGUCAGACUACCCGAUCAGUCCGCACGAUCCAUAUUUAGUUCACACAGGAAAUUCAAAAUGCAGUAAAUUUUUCACGAGAUAUUUUUUGGAAAGCGAUGAUGAGAUUACGUCUAUUAUCACAGAUUCCGAAGACGACUGCAUAGCGGGCUGCCACGUGGCGCUGCCGCUGGCGGGGCAGGGCGCGGGGCAGGCGCUGCAGGGCGUGGGCGCGGGCGCGUGGGAGCGCCUGCGCGCGCAGCCGCCGCUCACGCUGCGCGCGCGCCAGCGCACGCUGGACACGGAGCUGCUGUGCAACGAGGUGUGCGGCCGCCUGUGCACGCUGCGCGGCGACAAGUUCAUCUACUGCUUCGACUUCGGCUGCCACGUCAUCGACGUGUGCCAGUCCAGCGGGUGUCUCUCUGGGUUGUGCGCGAUGUGGCUGUGGGCCAGCGAAGGCGAAGCUUGCGAGGCGUGCGAGGAGCCGUCGGCGGGCUGCUUGCUGCACCGGAAACAGUAUGCUGCGCAGUGUCUGUUUGUGUGGGACCUCGUGAGCGGCGUGUACCGAACGGAGCGGGAGGCCAUGACGGAGGACUUCAGCCAGGAGACUUCCAGAGUUUCAGGCGUGGAGCGCGCGUGGGAGCUGGCCAAGCGGCUGGGCGCCAUCAACUCGCCGCCCGCGUACGAGACGCGACUGCUGACCACCUUGACUGGUCAUACGUCGGCCCAAAUGGAAGCCCCAGUACUUGACGCAUGUUGUUGGAAGCAAGUCUUCGUUUCCUAGCUAGUGAUGGGAUUUCGAUACACUCGCUACAAUUUGCCAUUUAGAAAGCUACAGGUAAAUCCCUAAAAAGGCUGACGGACGUCGACAACUGUGUGGAGAUUACCAAGAACCACUCGGACAGCUCAGAGUCCGAGUCCGAG